AUGGGAUUCUGGGACCUCCGCUUAUUUAAUCAAGCCCUCCUAGCGAAGCAGGCUUGGCGACUUAUCCAAUUUCCGGACAGCUUGUGUGCGAGACUGUUAAAGGAAAAAUAUUACCCACAUGGAAAUCUUGCUGAUACUGCUUUUAUCCAGAACGCGUCACCGUGCUGGCAAGGAAUCUGUCAUGGUUUGGAUCUCCUUAAGAAAGGCAUCAUUUGGAGGAUUGGUGAAGGUGAUAAAGUUAGAGUGUGGAGAGAUAAUUGGAUCCCAAGGGGAAAUUUAAAAAUCACUGGGAAACAAUCUCGUACUAGGAUAAAGUGGGUCUCCGAGCUAAUCGAUCCAGUGACAAGGACAUGGAAUGAGGAACUGAUUAGGAAAAUAUUACUACCUCAUGAUGUUGACGAAGUGCUAAAAAAUUGCCUCCCACAGUCUACCUCUGAGGAUUUUAUAGCAUGGCACUUUGAACGCUCAGGUGUUUUUUCGGUUUGCAGUGCAUACAGGCUAGCCGUUAAUGACAAGGAGGCGAAUCGAGAUUUGGGACAAAGCAGUACGGUGCCAACUGGAGAAAGAAAGAUUUGGAGCGUGCUUUGGAAAGCAAAUGUUCCUCCCAAGAUUAGAAAUUUUGGGUGGCGUUUGGCGACGGAGUCACUCGGAGUUCAGACAAGUAGACAUAAGAGAGGGUUGGAGCUAUUCCCUACAUGCUCUAUCUGUGGGAUGGAACCAGAAGAUGGAUAUCACGCAGUCAUGAGAUGCACAAAAGCUAAAGCCCUGCGUGACACCAUGCGUGAGGUUUGGACCCUUCCCCGGGACACUGAUCUUACAUGUACGGGGCGUGAGUGGGUCCUUAUAACUCUUUAUAAGGCGAAUGAGGAGGAGCGUACACACCUCCUCUUUUUGAUGAACUGA
rnacentral:rRNA from 1 species